rnacentral:rRNA from 1 species
UGGGGAAUAUUGCACAAUGGGCGCAAGCCUGAUGCAGCGACGCCGCGUGAGGGAUGACGGCCUUCGGGUUGUAAACCUCUUUCAGUACAGAACAAGGCCUUCGGGUUGAGGGUAUGUGCAGAAGAAGCGCCGGCUAACUACGUGCCAGCAGCCGCGGUAAUACGUAGGGCGCGAGCGUUGUCCGGAAUUAUUGGGCGUAAAGAGCUCGUAGGCGGUUUGUCGCGUCUGCCGUGAAAUCCUCUGGCUUAACUGGGGGCGUGCGGUGGGUACGGGCAGACUGGAGUGCGGUAGGGGAGACUGGAAUUCCUGGUGUAGCGGUGGAAUGCGCAGAUAUCAGGAGGAACACCGGUGGCGAAGGCGGGUCUCUGGGCCGUUACUGACGCUGAGGAGCGAAAGCAUGGGGAGCGAACAG